rnacentral:lncRNA from 1 species
AAAAAAAAAAAAAAAUCUUGAGUCUGUCCAUAACUGCAUUUUAGGAGAAUACAUAUUUUUUGCCCUUUUGAGUUUUUGUCUUGGACGGUCACUUAUUACUGUAUCAACCAUGUGAGACUGAAUUCUAUUUAUUGACAACACAACUGCUGACAUCAUUUUUGUGUUGUCCAAACUCAUUGGUUAUUUUUAUUUCUUUUUGAGAAAUGCUAUUUGGCCAGGGUCUCUUUCUUGUUUUCUUCAUUUUGAACGGCAAAUCGUAUCUCUGAAAGAUGAAUGAUGUCUUCUUUUUCUUCCUUGUAGGAUCACAUGUCAUAUUUUAGGCAGAGGACAGUAAAGGAGAUUUUGCAUAUGAAAGCCGAGUGAUAAAGAGAGAACGUAGGGGUUCAAUUUCUGUGCUGUACUUUCGAUUUGUUAAAGCCAGCAAAUGAACAUAUCUCAGUCGGCAAAACGUUUGAAAGCCAAUGAUACAACACAUUAGGCAGGCACUGGUCACGACAUGGAUAGCUCGUCCCGUGCUGAUGCUACUCGGUUAUAUUAUCGAUUGCUGAAAUUGUUGUUUGUGAAACCUGGCGAACAAACUGGUGAACGUAUUCUUCUUCAUAAACUCUUGAGCACUGAAUCUGAUUUUUGCAGGAUCGAGUACGAGAGUGUUUGCUCUACAUUUUCUUUUCCAUUUUUUUUGCAAAAUUUUUGAAUUUUGAUGUAACGGUAUAUAUGGUCUUCUAGUGUCUAGUGAACUCACAAUUGUAUUGCCAGUUAGGAAAUAUUUGAUUUAUGAUUGAAUAAAGUCUAUCAUAUCUAAAAUACAGUCCUAACUUGAUAUUUAACUAUGGCAUUGUCUCAUUAACGACUAAAUUACAGGAGAUAAAUGCAACAGACCUCGACUUGUAUUUGACUUUGGAAGGGAUGAAUUUAUCAGGAUGGCAAAAAAAAUUCGUCAAACCCGAUACCCGUAACGAAUGGGGUGGAAAUAAGCGUAUUCGGGACAGGGGGAGUGCUUUGCCCGGGGGUUAAAUAUUCAAAUGGUGAUUCAAUUUUGUACAACAAUUUUUAUAGACCAUUAAAUUUCAAAAAAAUAAAAAUAAAAUUGAAUGGCCAAUGAACUUAUCAAAUUAUCAUCUUAUUGAUUAUUAAACUUUAAAAUAUUUUUGGAUAGUCACCAAAUUUUUAACAUU